rnacentral:rRNA from 1 species
GACAGAGGUGCCGAGCGUUAGGCGGAAUCACUGGGCUUAAAGCGUGUGUAGGCGGACCGUUAAGUACCUUGUGAAAUCCCACGGCUCAACCGUGGAACGGCUGGGUAUACUGGCGGUCUUGAGCGGCCUAGGGGCAGAUGGAACAGACGGUGGAGCGGUGAAAUGCGUAGAUAUCGUCUGGAACGCCAAAGGUGAAGACAGUCUGCUGGGGGCCUGCUGACGCUGAGACACGAAAGCCAGGGGAGCGAACGGG